UUACGGCUACAUCACGUUGAAACACCGGUUCAGGUACGAUCAAAGAAGUUAAGCAACAUCGAAACGGGUCAGUACUUAGGUGAGUAACCACUUGGGAAUAUCAGGUGUUGUAAGC